UCUAUCUUUUUUUAUUGUCACGUCUUUAUCCAUCUAUGUAACGCUUAAUCAUCAAUUAUUAUAUUAAACUUCAAUAAAGGCUGGUGUACCAAAUUCAUGGUUUGUUUUAUCUGAUUAGUGUACCAAAUUCAAUUGGAACUAUAUCAGAUCCAUGAAAUUAUUGAUUAUUGAUACAUGCAGGUUAUGUGUGAUCCUUAUACACCAGCUGGUGUUCCAAUUCCAACCAACAAGAGGCACAACGCUGCUAAAAUUUUCAGACACCAAUCGUUGCCUCCGAGGAGCCUUGCAACCACGAUGCAUGAAGAAGAUUCAGGUGAUGUUUCAAUUGAUCUUUUAUCUUUAAUUUAUCGAUUUUCUAAUUUUACAAAAAUGUUCUCACCGAGUAGAAUAUACUUUUGAGUUUUGAGUUAAAUCUUUCACAGUCUGUUGUGGAUUAGCAACGUUUCAAGCCAUAUUAACUAUUGUGUUGUGGCAGUUCGAAAGAUUCAUAUAAAUUGGACUAUUGCUACAAAAAAAAACAGAAUCACAGGUUUCAUUCUAUCAAAGGAGAUAAAGCCUCUUAUCUCUACUGUCUUUGAGGGUAAAGAUGCUAAUGUCAUCGCCCACGGAGCAAGAAAUUGCGGAAAAACAUAUCUCAUACAUGUAUUGAAAGCAAUCCCAUUAAGGUAUUGAUUAUCAGACAUGAUACUAUAGAUGAAAAAUGCUAAUUAUUGUAUCGCAUGGUUUGUAGGGAAAUGAUUAUGCUCUGACGCUCAAAGGAAACAGACACCUUUGACUGUGUCUGCUACUUCUAGAAAACAGACAGUGCUAAGGGGAAAUGUGACAGAGAGAAAAGACUAAAAUCAAAGCAAGGGUCACGACAUACAUACUAUAAUUGAUAGAGAGUAUUAUCGUCAUCGUGGAUUCAGGUUUUUCCAAGGACGAUAGAUACAUGGCCGGCCCUAUAGACAUCAACAAGAAACUUUUGCUGUAACCCAAAUUUUGUUUCUGAAAUUCUUCAACAAAAAUUAUUUAUGAAA